AUGGCAACUUUUACUAUGUUAGCCAUACGAACAGCUUCAGAUGUGUUGUGUUGCCAUGGCAAGUUUACAUGUUUUUCCCAUCCACCAUUUAAAACGAUGAUUUUCGACCAUGGAAAAUUAGCAAUGUUCCCUAUUUUAUUACAACUUAAGUUGUUUUUCCAUGGCAAAUUUUUUUCCGUUUGGAGUAUUUUUCACAUGCCAACUAAGAAAUCAUCUAAAGCUGCCAUGGCAACUUUGGAUUAUUUUUCCACACACCAACUAACAAAUCAUCUAAAGUUUGCCAUGGAAACUUUUACUACGACAACUUCAAAUGUGCGCCAUGCCAACUUAAGAUAUGUUGCCAUGGCAAAAAUUAAACCAUUUUUCCAUGGCAAAUUUUACUCCAUUUUAUGCCAUGGCAAACUUCUUUAG
rnacentral:rRNA from 1 species